GCAGAUGGACAGAGCAUAGCUGUCCCGUGCAACGCAAGUUGCGCGGGAUAGAGGAAAGUCCGGACUGCAAGGGACGGCAUAGCGGCUAAUUACCGCGCGGGGCGACCCGACGAUUAGAGCAACAGAGACGAUUCCGCCAGAAAUGGCGGGGUGAAACGGGCAAUCUCUAUGUGCAGCAACUUCAAAUAGGUUCUCUACAUCUGGUCCCUGAUUGAGAACGGGUAGAAGGCUUGACGCUUUGUGGCGACACAUUGCGCAGAUUGAUUAUGCUCGCCAUGGUUUCAUGGAACAGAAUCCGGCUUAUCGUUUAUCUGCAAAA
rnacentral:RNase_P_RNA from 1 species